rnacentral:sRNA from 1 species
AAGUUUUAAAGAAAUAUUCAAAAUGGCAGUGCUGAUGAUGUACCCUGGUUCCCAAGGAGAAUCAAAGAACUGGACAGAUUUGCCAAUCAAAUUCUUAGCUAUGGCUCAGAACUAGAUGCAGAUCAUCCUGGUUUUACUGAUCCUGUAUACAGAGAAAGAAGAAAGGAGUUUGCAGAUAUCGCUUUCAAUUAUAAACAUGGUCAACCCAUUCCUAGAGUGGAAUACACUAAGGCGGAAGUUAAAACCUGGUAAAUAUAUAUAUAACUUCUAAGAGGACUGUAUUCC